GACGAACGCUGGCGGCGUGCCUAAUACAUGCAAGUCGAACGCAGUGGGGACGGGUGAGUAACACGUGGGUAACCUCCGAUCAGAGGGGAUAACACAUGGAAAAAGGUGCUAAACCGAUAUGGAUGGAUGGACCCGGGGUGCAUUAGCGAGUUGGGGGGGUAACGGCUCACCAAGGCAGCGAUGCAUAGCUGACCGGAGAGGUUGAACGGCCACACUGGGACUGAGACACGGCCCAGACUCCUACGGGAGGCAGCAGUGGGGAAUCUUGGACAAUGGGCGAAAGCCUGAUCCAGCCAUGCCGCGUGUAUGAAGAAGGCCUUCGGGUUGUAAAGUACUGUUGGUAGGGAAGCGGUAUCUGCCGAAUAAGCACCGGCUAACUACGUGCCAGCAGCCGCGGUAAUUC
rnacentral:rRNA from 1 species